CAGAGUUUCCAUAAACUCCCAACCCCUGUGGACAUACCUCUUGUUGCCUCGGCAGGCGCGAGCUUGCCGGCGGCCCCUCCAACUCUUGUCUCUCUGGACAUUCUGAACACGAUAACGAAAUACGUUA
rnacentral:misc_RNA from 1 species